GGGGGCGUUUCAGAUUCGCUCGGGAGAGCGGCGGCAAACGCAGCGUGCCGAGAUGCCGUCUGACCUCGUUAAACAGACGGAAAAUUUUUAAUUGCCAAUAACGAAUACGCCUUAGCCGCGUAAAGCGGCUACAUCCCGCCUUUGUUACCUGUGACGAAGGAGUUGGGGUGCAAAAAGAUCAGGUUGCCCGAAUUAGCUUCUGUUCGUAGCUACUAGGGGAGAUCAAUCGAACUGACUUUCGCUCUAUCCUGCUUCCGGGAGCGGGCCGAAGUGAGAAUAAAACGGAAGCUACGCACGUAGACGCGGUUGUGGCGGCCUUUCGAUACAGGGGUGCAAGUCCCCUCGCCUCCGCCA
rnacentral:tmRNA from 1 species